GUUAAACUCCUCCUUUAACCUUGUCGAGGUCCUAGUCCCUUGAGGAUUUAAAAUGGGGAUUUCCCAUUGCUUUUCAACUUUUAGCUCAUUUACCAUCUGAUUAGCUGUGCACAAAGAGUUUACUUUUUGGUUAUAAAAUGGUCGAUGUAAAGCAGCGAAUAAGAAAACCAGUUUCUCUCAUGGAUUACAUCUUCAACAAGACACCGGUGAAUUGGUUUAAAGUUGAUUUCAUUGGCUAUCAUCAUUCCAAACUUGCUAUUCAUCAGCAACAUGGCCAAGCCAGCAAUUGGAACUAAAUUAACUUUGAACAAUGGAAAUACUAUGCCAAUUUUUGGUUUAGGAACAUGGAAAUCGAAGCCUGGUGAAGUCAAACAGGCUGUUAAAUUUGCUCUAUUGGAAGGUGGAUAUCGCCAUAUUGAUUGUGCUUUGAUCUACGAGAAUGAAGAUGAAGUUGGCCAAGCUUUGAAGGAAGUCUUUGAAUCUGGAGCUUUAAAACGUGAAGAUGUUUUCAUUACCUCUAAAUGUUGGAACUCGUUUCAUUCUCGUGCUAAAGUAACCGAAGGAUGCAAGAUUACUUUAUCUAAACUGGGUUUGGAAUAUCUUGAUCUUUAUUUAAUCCAUUGGCCAAUGGGCUAUGCUGAAGGAAACGGAAUGUCACCUUCGGAUGGUAAGGGUGGAACUGCAUACUCUAAUGUUGAUAUAGUCGAAACAUGGCAAGGUAUGGAAGACGUCCAUAAAGCUGGUUUAUCAAAAUCAAUUGGAGUUUCCAACUUCAAUUCAGAGCAGGUUGCAAAAAUUCUUGCUAAUUGUUCAGUUAAACCUGUUAACAAUCAAAUUGAAGUUCAUCCUUAUCUAACUCAGAAAGAGCUUGUUGAGUUUUGUCAAAAACGUGACAUUACUAUAACAGCUUACAGUCCACUUGGUUCACCUGAUCGACCAUGGGCUAAACCAGGAGAUCCAUCUUUAUUUGAAGAAUCAGCUAUAAAGAAAAUCGCUGAAGCCCAUAAAAAGACUCCAGCUCAAGUAUUACUUCGAUUUGCUGUUCAACGAAAUCUCAUUACUAUCCCAAAGAGUGUUACACCUGCAAGAAUCGCUGAGAAUAUACAAGUUUUCGAUUUUGAAUUGUCAAAGGAAGAAAUGGAAACCAUCUUUGGAUUCAACAAGAAUUGGCGAGCUUGUGGAUUGGAAGAACACAAAAGUCACCCACUUUAUCCAUUCAAUAUCCCAUUCUAAAUUAAACGACUUAAAAUCAUGAAAUGGUUUUCAAUGUUGCAAGAUUUAAUAUGUUCAAGAAUUAAUGAUUUAAGAUAUAAGUCUAUUGUAAUAUCUAUCACAUAUCCUAAAGAGUAAUAAAAGAUGAAAUUAUGUGUAA